AAAUUCUAAUGGUAGUUAUAGAUAGUAUUUAUCAGGCAAACUCCUAGAGCUAAGUUUUUCUUUAGCCUUAUAAAUGAUGUUCUUGGACUGUGCUGUGUAAUCACAGUGGAUUUGUAAUUAGUUCCUUUUGUGAGGUAUCAUUAAACGAGUACAAUUUUAAAUGACUAGAGUACUUAUUGCAUAUACAAUAUUGCUAUCAUGUAGGGUAGUGUGUGACUGAAGAACAUGAAUAACUAUGCAAUCAUAGGAAUUAUAUUUUUCUAUGGUUUAAGAUAGGAUACUGAUUUAAACAGAUUUAAACUUUAGAGCUCUGCUAUGGCCCAGUAAAACAACUCUUGAAGUCAGCUUAUACUUAUCACCGUUCCCCUUUGCACUUUGUCUCUUUAACAAAUACCAAGUACUUUUUAUCUCUGAUUGCUUGAGAUAUGAAACUUAAGAUAGACAAUUUGCAUUUACCUUUAAAGACUACUGUUGCUAUUUUAGACCUGAAGAAAGGUCUUUGUGCCCAAACGCUUGCCUGGAUCUCUUAGAUGUGUCAGUCUGGUCUAGUAAAAGGUGUUAUCCAUUAUUAUAAAUCUUGUUCUACUGAGCAGGUUCAGAGUAUGUUCCUAGUUCUACAAAAGUGUGGUGGUUUUUUUGUUUGUUUGUUUUUGUUUUUGUUUUGUUUUAAAGGUAUGAUUUAUUUUUUUUUCUUCUCUCUGAUAUGCCAUUUCAGGUGUUACAUGGAUGGUUCUUUUUGCUACCAUGGUACAUUAAUAAUAAUUAGGUAACUACUCCAAACAUCUCCACAAACAGACCACAUAACUCAGUUUCCUUCAGCUGUGUUUGCAUUUUCCUAAUACACUAAUGAAUGAGUUUCAUAGGAGUGUUCGUGGGAGAAAUUUACAGAAUGUUAAGGAGAAUGUUACAGAGGAUACCACAGAACAAGGUCUGCACAUCAAAAGCCUGAUCCUGAUACCUACAUUUUUUGAAUUACUUCAGUAAAUGUACUCUCUCUCUCUCUCUGUUUUGUUUGUUUGUUUGUUUGUUUUUGUUUGUUUUUGUUUGGUUGGUUGGUUGGUUGUUUUUUUCCUGGUGGAGUUGUGGACUUGUAUGUAGCAAAUAUAAGCUUAUUGACAAUAGCCCUGCUGAUCCAUUAUAAAUCACAUUCACAGACCCACUGAGCUCUACAGUACAGCAUAAACUCUCAUCAGGCCAGAAAUGAGAGCUCAUAUCAUCUACUGUGGACAAUCACAAUUCAUCUGCCACUGGUUUUCAAAAUUAGAUAUUGACUGCUCAUAAAGCAAAACAAAACAAAACAAAACAAAACAAAACAAAACAAAAAGUCUUUUAAAAAGCCCAUUGAUCAAAUUUCACAAAAAUUAGGAUGCAAAUGCAAACACAUUUUGCAACUUCUUCUAUUUCCUUUGCCUUUUCUAGUUCUUGAACCUACCUUUUAGGAAGGUCCAUUUUACAAACAGUUUGUAUAAAGAAAAGCAAUCACUGCUAGUUUGUGCUUGGGCCAAGUUUUUCUGAGCUUGUAUUUGUUCUGGUUUGUAUUUGGGGCUUAACAGUACUUGCAUAAUUGCAAAAAACUUGCUCAUCAUCUCCAAAAUUUAUGGAUACUUUCAAUAGGUGAUGUUUUUAUUCCUUUUGGUAUAAUUAUAUAUAUAUAAUGUAUUAUAUACAUGUAUAUAGGAAUAUGGUAUAUAUUCCUUUUUCUAAACUACUGUUUAGAAAGCUUGUAAAAUCCAUCUAUAUUCACCAAUAAAUAUAAGGCUGCAAAAUGUCUACACAUCAGCUAUUGCAGCAUAUGCCAAAAACAAAACAAAAAAUGGCAUUUGAUGCUAUACCUUACAACCUGCACAGGGAAUUUGAGCUGGAUUGGUACCCCGCUUUACCACAUUCUUGCUUGCUUUCAUGGCAGGUGUAGAAUGGAAAUCUGUUUCAGUCAUUGGACAAGAGCAGAACUAGGGAUGAUUCCCUGUACACAAGGAUGUCAAAAAGAUUGCAUCAGCAAACACUUCCAAAAACUUUCAUCAAGAAAAGUAAACCAGUCUGGAAAGUAUUCAGGCAUGCUUGAACAUGCUCUAAUUUGGAUGGCAGUCAUAGAAAGCUCCAUCUUUCUAUACAAGAGUGAAAGUCACCUUAGGAAAAUCCAUAAUCUGAAAAAGUGGUACACCUUUUUCUAAAACUCAUACUCAUUCUUUCAUCCUGCCAUAGCUAACCAUCCAUAUCUGAAGUAUUGUAAACCUAUGAUCUAAAUGCCUUCUAAGCUCUAGAAAGCUCCCCUAAAAAUACCACAUAAAUAGAAGAUAGAUGUGCAGUGGACUGUGAUUUAUGUGUUGAAAUUCUCUUUUGACCUCUGUUAUUUCAGAAAAACAUAAGAUCAUUUAGACUGAGGUAGUACAACACAGACAUGGAUACAGAGAGAAAUAAAUUCUCUUUGUAGCCAAGCCUGUAGUGUAAUGUAAUUAAGCACUCAAUAGCAAGUUCUGGAUGCAAGAAAGCAUGAAUUUGCAACAUUUAUUUCUGCCAAGGUUUGUUAGUGAAGUUGGAAUGGAUGUGCCUUUGAAAUACAAGAAGCACCCAGUCUUUGUGUUUAAACCCCGGAACCUUGCUAGUUAACAACCUUUGGAAGUUUGCUUUUCACAUACACAAACAACUACUGUUGCUUGACAUUUCCAGGGACUAUCAUUGCAAGCAAUACUGGUCAUUUGUGGGUGUGAAGCACCAUCAAGGAGCGGUCUCCUUUUAGUUUUUUUCAAGCAGCACAAUAGGUGAAGCAAUACUACUGCGUUUCAGUUCUGCCCACAAGCCCUACCUUAAACAUAGGAAUAGUACAUAAUUUUAGAAUGCCAUCAUUCAUGAUCUAAACAAAUCAUGUGGAAUAUGCAAACAAAAUAAUUUUCUGCCAUUAUUUGGAUGUUUCAAGUUUGUCUUAUUCCUGGAGAUAAAGACCACUGAGGUCAGUCAUGCUGGCAUGAUCCACUUUUUUAUAUGGUUCAUAAUCAGUACUACCAGAACUGACCUUGAGGUCAGAAGCCUGAAAGUGUAUUUGUUUUCUCUUGGUACUUCAAAGUACUAUUUCUAUUAUAUCUUAACUGAUGUUUGUCACUGUGUGCGUUGUUUCUGGAGCAACCUCUUACAGUAUAUUGUUUCUUGGGAGAACACAUAAAAUGGCACAGCCUGACAGAUUUUAAAUUGUCUUGGUGGUUCUUAACUCUGUACUGUCUUAGCACACCACUAGAGCCAGAAAAUAUUACAGACUGGUCCUGAUUUAGGAUUCUGAUUUCACAUGUUUUGCAAAUGUCAUUAUUGCAUGCAUUUCUGUCAGGACACCCCAAGAAUAUUAGUAUUUAAGUUACCUGUAAGCUUCUGUUAUUCUAGCUGGAUUUGCACUGGCAAACAACUAACAUUGUCCUUUCGGAGGACAAACUCCCCAGCUAUGUCUGUAUUAGUAAAUUAAACAGCAAAAAUCUCCAGGCACUAGGAUGUAGUCUGUAUGAGUAAACAUUCAGAAGGACCCUGUUAAUAGUCCUGAAGGACUUUUGGCAUAUACCAACUAGCAUUGUCCCACAAUGAAUCUCAGAGACAGAUCCAGAAUUAGAAUGUUUUAGAGACUGUUCCCUACAGGCAGUCUGCAUGCCAUCACUCAGUUUUGCAAAGUCAGAGUUUACUAACAUAGAUGCAGUCUAUUUCAUACCAUUUGGCCUUGAUGCCCAACAAUGUUCUUGUGCAUAUUUAAUUAUUAUGGCUAUAGAUCCAUGCUUCAGGCUCAGAGAAUAUUUCAGUCCUGACACUGUUAUAAACUUACAUGGGCACUGUGAACCUGAAAAUUGCAUUUUUUGACUAUCUGUCUUUAGAAAAUUGUUUCUUUUUAAGUUUAUUUGACUGUAUUUUUUGUUAUUCUGGCUAUCUCAUUUAUUAACUGUUUGAUAAAUGUUCUUAGAUCAACAUAGAGAAGCCAUAAAAUUGAUAACAUAAAGUAGAUAUUUCAAAACAAACUAAUGCUAGUAGUUCAUUAGAAAAAAGAAAAUGAUACCUAACAACUAUACUUUUCCUCUUUACAGUCCUCUCGAGCCUUGUUCUUCUUAGAACAAUUUUUUAAGAAGAGGUGCUUGAAAAAAUGUAUAGAUUCUUUUUUGCUUGUUUCCUCUAUCUUCCCACUUGUUGUAUUUUAUCCUGGUAUUACCAGUCCUUUUUGAAUCAGUUAUAUGAAAACUCAUCUUGAUUACUGUCUUGCUUAUAACAAUAUUUUAUACAAAGUUCUAACUACUUGGAUCUCAGCAGGGAGUUUUAAUUAGUGCCAAAAAUAUUCAUUUUUUUUCUUUCUUACAAUACUGUCAUACAAGCAGCACAUGAAAUGUUUAAAUUUUAAUGUACACUUCAGCAUACCCAUUUGAUUUGUGUUGUAAAUAUUGUACAGGCAGUCUGAUCUUCUUAUUCUUUUACUUUAUUACUGUACAUACUAUUAAAAAUGACUUUAAGUGUCGAUACAAAGUAUGGCCAAGAAUAAUCUGGGUAUUUGUCUGUGAUACAUCUUUCAUCAUCAUCUUGGUUUUUUUACAACAUUUUUCCUGUUUUUCCGCAAGCUCAUAUUCUGAUAUCCAGGUUUUUGGAUUGCAUUCUAACUUUGACAUCCACGGUAAAUUAAAGUCUGCUAUUUUUUCCAUUGCUCAUUCUAUAGACCUUGCUACAUUAAUAUUGCAAACUCCUCAGAGCAAGUGUUGCUUUAUUCUCUGUGCAGUACUCAGUGACUUCCUGAUUCAUAAUCAAUGUUUCUAUCCAUAGAAACAGGGGAAAAAAAAAGAAAAAAAAAAAAACAACAUAUUUUAUUAUGGGUGUUUUUAAUUUUAUUUGAUCAGGUAUAAAGCAAAUGAACUGGAAUCUCCCUGUUUUCCUGCACCAACAGAUUUGCUAUGACUGCCUGCACUGCAGUGCAAAGGUGUAAUUUCAGAGUUCCCAUAUACCUGAUUGCCCAGUGGAAGUUAAUUUAUCUUUCACAAUAGAAUUGUUGAUAGGUGUUGAAUCGAUCCUUACAUAUUUCUUAGCCCGUGAAUCACUUUCAUCAGCAAUUCUUUACAUGUCUUGUGGUAUUACAGAAAUCCCACCUGGGGUGACUCACACCUCAUUUACCACAAUACAGAGCUUGGCAGUCAGCUGUGCCUUUCAGGGGAAGUGUUAGGGUGUAGAGGAUGCCCUGUAGUUCAGUUGCAGAAUCUUUCCCUGCUAUUGACAAUGCCUGAACCGGAAAUGACUCAACUUUUGUUUAAUAUACCAACAGAAGUCUUGAGCAGUCUUAAUUGAAAUCACAGUAUUUUAAAGCUGCUGUGUAAUGCAUGCCACAAAGAUCCAUGGUGUACAUACCAGAAUCACUUUGCAGAAGACUGAAAGCAAUGCUUCACCAUUGGUGAUGAAAAAGAAAGAAUGGAUAUUGAGAACAGAUGGAGAAACAUGCGGAUUUAGCAGGAGUUCACAAGUGUCAGGACUUCACAACGGUCAGGGCUGCCUGGGGCCAUGGGGCUGGGGACUCCCAUGGGUCCGUCAGUGCAGGGCCCCACAGUUAGGGACCCUCCCAAGCAGGAGCAGGGCAGCAGGAGGGUACAAGGAGCUAUGAGCGUUGAGCAUUUCCCUGGGGACAAGGACAGGCCAAGACCAAGCCAGGUCAUCUGUCUGCAGGUCGCUAUCAGGAUCAGGACUAGGGAGGGGCACCGGGGUCAGGCAUGGCCCCAAAAUGGCCAGGCACGGCCCCCACCCCUGCAGUGCUGUCUGGGGCUUCUGCCCAUAAACACCAGUGGGGAUGUGCUGUGGGCCCUUAAAAAGAAGUAUGGAGGUGAACACUCUGUGAUGAUGCACUUAAUGUAAAUGUGUUCACUGUAAGCAUAGUGACUCCUUUCCUGACUCCAGUUGUUAAGGUCCUCCAGAAUGUAAUAACCUGGUUACUUAUGUAGUUGACAUUGUACUGAUAAUUUUCCAUAAGCCAUUUUAUAUUGGUAAUACCAGACUUUAGAUGUUUCUACAAGUUCAUAGAGUUCAUGCAGUGACCUACUUGCUUGUAUUCAUUCUGAUAAAUUUGGGUAUAAUAAUGAUCACUUUACUGGGGAUUACUGGUGCUUAAAGGUAGCAGGUAACCAUUUUCUAUUGAGAACUUCUUCAGAAUAUAGAUAAUGAUACAGAAACAUUUUGAGCAUUUCUACUUGACUCAUUCUCUAGUUUUUCUGACUUUUUCCUGUGUGACAAUCUAGGUCUUUUAAGAGUUUUAACUGUUGAGAUGUGUAUAAGUAUGGUGAUUUGGUUCUUGUUUGUUUUGAUUACGUUUCUGCAAAUUCAUUUCUAACUUUUUCAUAGGUGUAUAGCUAUUAGGUCCUGAUGAUAUGGAUUUCCAUUCCCAAUUUCCAUUCCCAAAAACCCAAACCCUCUUUUGUGUUAGCCAGUUACUCCAGUGAAUGUUGGAGUGAAGACAGGAAGUUGCAUUGAAUAGACAGCUUUCAGCUAUGUCUGCAGUACACCUUAUUUACAGCAAAGACAUUCCCGCGGUAUAUCCACAUGGAAAGUUAGUGUGGAACAACUUUUGCACUGUAAAAUGGCAUUUUAAUUUAACACAGACUCUUGAUACACAGUAUUGCAGUCUUUAAAGGCAUGCUGCAACACUGUUGGUUUAUUUUGUUAUGGUUCUUUUGACCUCCACUGUUCAAAGGCUACCAUAUAAUGGGAAAUAAAAAUUGCACAAAGCAAAGAUACAAAUUCCAUGGUACUGAGCUCUGUUCCACCAAAAUAUUACCUCACUACAUCUUGGUAGUGAUCUCUAAUGUAGUGUUUGGGGAUGAGAGCAAUGUUUGCAUCAUAGCAAUGACUGAGUGUUGAGUAAUAGGCCAAAACACUUCUGAGCUUUGUGAGUCACCAAAACUGAGUGGUGUGGAGGUUCUCUGGGCUGAUUUGGAGGGGAAGGCAUAAAGUAUUUCAGAAUGUUUCUGUAUUCCUAUAAUCAUCUUUAAGCGACCCAUUAGUUUCUUGCAAUUCUUUUAAGUUUAUACUACAUCAAAUUCAUCAUAUACAUUGAGCAUAGGAAUGCUCUUACUUACUAAGCAGGCAACAGCCAGAGGAUCUGUAGAGUCUACCAUGCUAUUGAACACCAUCAAAGAACACUCUACUGAGUAAUGAGGGGAGGGCAGGUAUUACAGAAAGCAUUCAAAAAAGUGAUCAAGAAAAAGAGCACACCUGUUCUGGAAGGGAAAACAUCUCUCUGGACCUGCAUGAGAGCUUACUAUAAGAAGUGAAACAGAGGGCUAUCGAAAGUAAUGAAGCCACCAGACAAGAUAUUGCAGUUGAAAGUGAGAAGACAUUGCAUACGGUCUUACAACAGAAGGAAGCCAGAGGAGAGGUCAGCUGCAUAGCCACUGAACUUCAAGAACAGAAGACCAAGGGGUGAUGUCUUCCUUCUUUUAUACAAGGAGUCUUGAAGGUAGCCUGGAUUGAAACAGUCCAAGAGAAUAAGGGGAAGGUAGUAAAUAAGAAUAGGAUAUGGACCCCUUUGACUUUACAUAGAGAUUCCAUGUUCAGCAUCUCACAACAGUACUGAAAAACAACAAAACAACACGAACCAAUAAAAACAAAAAGAAAUAUUACAGAAGAAAGUAAGCUAGAAAGAGAAAAUCAUCUCCUAAAAUCAGUUUUUUGAAGAAAGAAAACAUUUAGCAACGUUCAUAGCCACGUUGUCACUAAUCUUGUAUUGUGACUGUUCCUGGUCAAGUGUGCUGUAUAUCAAAUCUGAAUUAGCAGAUAAGCAGGACACUUCUGUCCCCUGAAAAUAAUAAUAGUAAUAAUAAUAGUAAUAAUAAUAGUAAUAAUAAUAGUAAUAAUAAUAAUAAUAAUAAUGGCAGAAUAGAAAAGAAAGGUGGAAAAAUAUUUUCUUCAAAAUGAAAGUCUUGUCUGUUAUCCAACAAGAUAUGCAAAAAUAACAUGCCUAACAAUCCCUUCUUUUCCAACAUGCUAUAUCCUGAGAGUAUACUGGUUCAGUUUUCUGAGACAAAAGCUCUGAGAGCCUUCUAGAGGAAUCUGCACCCUUUGGAAGGCAGUCUUUCAAGUCCCUGUACCACUUCCUUAUGGUCUUCUCUUAUUAAAAAAAAAUAUAUAAGCAACAACCUUCUUUCUUCCUUCCUAUCAUACAAACAGAAGUGUCUCCAUUUUAAGACACUCAUGUUGCUUUGAUAUGUCUAGCUUUUUAUAUAUGCCAGAGAAUGGUACCCAUGAUUGUCCCAUUGCUCUGCUUUUUUGCCAACAUGCCAGCGUGAAGUGACUGCCUGCCUGUUUGCCAUGUACCCAGCAUACUGUAACUGGCUUUUCCUGAGGGAAUAAAUUUCUUUCAAGAUAUCUUCAACUUCUAGUUCUUAGUAAACUCAUUCACCUUGGACUACAAGAAUGACAAGCAACAGGCUCACUCUUUCUGUCUGAGUUAUAGCAUCAGGACUGUAACAAAACAUGAAGAGGGAAUGAACAGUUUUGUUGGUAGUGAGAAAAACUAGUUUUUCUCGGAAACCAUUCUUUAAUUUCCAUAGGCUGCUUGCCCUUCAUGUUUUCUUUCCGUUCUCCAUUGGAGAAGUAGGUGUGAAUGAGUGUAAGUCAUCUAUUGGCAAAUAUUCAUGUGAUGGUGUAUUCCAGGGGUGAAUCAUGAGAUCGAAUUAUAGGGCAGUGAAGAAGCCCUCAGUGUUUUCAAAUUUUGGAUAUCAUCAAUUUUAAUACUGAAAUUUGACACUUAAUAAGUGUUAUCUUUGAAGUGCAUUGCACUGCACUUUCUCUUUCUCCUACUUGCUCUCUCUGCUCCAAAAAAAUUCUGCCUGUUUGAUAUACCUGAUACCAUAUCUAUUCUUCUUCCUGUGUUGCUGCCUCUCAGGCCAUUCUCAGAAUCAUCUAUAUGAAUUAUGAAUGUGAAUUUAAAAAUUGCAAGCACUGAAGUAAAAAUUAUUCAAAUAAAUUGUUUUUAAUACCUACUAAUCCAGCUGUUCAACUUUACAGCUGUACGUAAUUGUCCUCUGUAGACUUGAGAGAGAGCUGUCUUCUCACAGUUUCUUGGGCAGAGGCAGAAAACAUUAAAAAGCCCUAAUGUGGACAAUCAUCCCCAAAAUUCAAACUGAGCUCCUGGCUCUUGGAACAAACUUCACUCUUCCCCUGGAGAAUGUCUUAAACAGAUUUCUUUUGGAGGCAAUUCACAGCUCCAUCUCAAAGCACUGUCACAUUAGCCAUUUGUUUCGGAUUAGGGUAGAAAUAUUAGCAAAUCUCCAAUUUAAAGGUUGCUUUUCUCACUCAGGUUUCUUUCUGUCUCUAGUGACUACUCAGCAACAGAAAGCACUUUUAGUCAGGGGUUAAGUGAUCUGUGCCCAAACCACUUCACUGUCUGUAUGUCUAAAGCCAUACUGAUCGGCUGAUGGAGUAUGUCUUCUUGGCCCUAGGCUACAGGUUAAGGUUUUAUGCUAAGUUAACAGUUUCAAAGUUUGCAAGUAGUUUUUCUAUACAUUGUCAAAUUGAAUUAUUUUUUUUUUCUCCAUUGCUGCUUUUUGGUGUUUGCACAGGGAUCUAUGACUAUACUGUUUAUCCAAAUAUAUGUUGCAUAUUGAUUAUGAGCUAAUAAUCAGUCACUCUGUCAUUUUAUUGUUGUGUUUUAUGUUGUGUUUUGUUGUUGUUGUUGUUUGAUUGUUUGUUUGUUUCUUACAAUAAAUUGUUGGAAAGCUAAAAGCAAAGGUAUUCUUACAAUAAACAUUUUGCACAAAGUUUGUUUUCUUCUCUUUGCACUGUAUAUCACGGAACAUUCUUCCAGCAGUUGUAACAAUGCUGAUCUCAUACAAAAAUUAUAAUAAAAAUGAAAAAAAAUGUAAAUAAGUCUGAUUGUAUUUUGUCAUAUCUAAAAAUGUAAGUAAUAAAUUUGUGAGGGAGGGUGUGCGCACUGCCUACUAUGUAUGAUACUAUUCUUGCUUUAAAGCAUUUUUACUCUUUCUUCACAAGCUUAAUAUCUCAUAUUGGUUGGUGAUGACUAGAGAUUUAGAAAUGAUUCUUAGUGAACAGUGUAUUCAGUUAGUUUCAGCUCUAUUUCUGCAUGUGAUUUUGUCAUGAACAUCUUAUAAUUUUCCUAAAUUCUUGAGAUAAUUUCUAUGAGUAAGUUUUAGUGUAUAUAUUGUUCAUGAUUACAAAUAUUUGAAAUUCAACAUCUAAGCUGUUUUAAAGAGCUUUGAUUGGAUGUAUGAGUCAUAUACUAUUUUUCUGUUCCAAGACUGGUUAAAAGAAACUUAUAAAUUUUAUUACCAGUCACAUUUACAGGUUCAAAAUUUGUUGUGUUCUUAUUCUCCAAUAUGCAUUUUAAAGGUCUUUUUCUGUGAACUAUUCUGCUAUUUGAAUCCUUUGUCUGAAUAGGAACACAAAAUUAUACUUAGAAUGAGUCCAAACACAGCCAAGGUAGAGUCACAAUUUUUCCAAGUAAGUAUUUAUGGAAAUGCUUUUCACUUAGCUAUCUCUUAUUAACUGGCCAUUUCAAAUGUGCUUUGACAUACUUAUCAGAAAUUUCUGUGAAUUCCCCUGGAAGGAGGACUUUAUUUAGAAUGACUUUAUAAUUGAAGUAUUUUAAUGAUGAAAAAUGGUGGAGGGCGAUUUAGAAAAGGUCAUUUGUAAGUUUUAGGUAUUUUGCACUGUGGUUAGGGAAAGGUACUAAGUCUUCUUUAGUGUCUGAGUUAAUGUGAUCAACAUUGCAGACAUAGAGUUAAGAUGUACAUAUGUUUCUCAUACUGUAACUUCUAUAACUGAAUCAAAAGUGUGUUUUUGACAUAUGAGUAAUUAUAUACAGUGAUUAAAAAUUAAAGCUCUGAUCCACUAAUACCCCAAGGCAGCUGUUCUGUUUUGCUGAUACAUCAUGCUGAAUUAAGCUGGUAACUUUUGGCCUGCACACUUAAUUCAUAUACUCCCUAAUGGAAAGAAAUACUUUAUUACAUUUUGGUUGACCUGCCCUUUACCUCUAAUAAUUUGUGGAAGAAAUAGAAACAAACAAAAACUAUUAAUUUCAUUUUCCACAGUUGUGUAGAGGUUAGUAUAAUUUAAAAAGAAAGUUAGGUAUAAAAAUAUGUUUAUUAGUUUAUCUCAUUCCUGAUGUCAUUAGAGUCAAAUUUGAUACAUAAUAAGAUAUAUCAUGUAAAUAAUAAGUAUUUAGAUUUAUAAAAAACAGACUUUAGUGGGAUUAUUCACAUACAAAACUCAAAUAUGCUUAAAUUCUUUGUAGAAUUUGAGUUUAGAAGCAUGUAAGAAUUUCAUAUACUCUGUGAUUUCCACUAUGAAUUUUUAUGCUCUCUGGUAACUAAAAACAACUGUAUAGUAGUCCUACCAGAGGAAAAUUGCAUAUAUUUUACAGAAAGUGUUAAGUGUUCAACUGAGUUUAUUCAACUCAAUUCACUACUAUGGAAGUUUGCUUCAUCAGAAACAUUUAUUCAUACAUCUUAAUUGCCAAUAAUAAUUGUAAAGACCUUUUUCAGGUGACAUUGCUUGGGCUACUUUUAUCAGCAAGGUGAUUAGUAAAAUGGUAUCUUGCAUAAUAUCUGUUAAAUUUACUGAGGUUAGUAUAUUAUAACCUUCAUUUUCAUUCACUUCUAUACUCAUAGGCAGAAAAUAAUGUUUCCAAACCUUAAAACCAAAUACUUCUUUCAGUUAUAUUUUCUCAUUUCAAAGUAACUAUUAAACUUCUGAAGAGUGAUUCUGGAACUACAUGAAAGUAACUGAGGUCAGAGUAUGUCCAGUUUCCAUGAAGUGCUAUCCCUCUCCUGUUUGUAGAUUUUAAUUGUCUGGUUUUCAUUUCUAGUUGUUAGCAGAUGUUCCUUCUAGCAACCUUACACAAAUCUAUGAAGUUGUCCCUAGUAAAUUAUUGUCUUGAAUAUGCAAUAGACACAAUUAAAUGAAUGGUAUUUUUCCAGAGCAAUUCCAACACUUAGAACAGGUAAUGCUCUGACAACAAACACUAUCUUUAGAACAAAAUGAAUUUUUCUAUUUUGCCCUUUGUAGAGAUGUGCUUAAAAAUUUAGCAACACUAUCUAGAACCAAAAAGAGUAACUACGGCUUUCUCCUUCUCUUACUAUGUAAAUUAAUUUAACAAAAUACACAAGGAUAUCCCUUAUGUUUUAUGAUGGCUUGUUCUUCUGCCUU